rnacentral:rRNA from 1 species
AUGCGCAUUCCCCAAUUCCCAAUCCUAUCGCCACAACACGACGCGACGCACACUUCUCCACUCUCUGGAACUCUCGCCAUGCUUCCGGCUCUCGCCGCCGCCUCGCCGACGCUGCAAACCUCUCGCCCGGUCUCCCGCCUCCGGCGCAACCACCGACACCAUCACGGUGUUCAUCUUCACCUCCACCACCGCUUCCCUCCCUUAGCCGCCGACGGCGGGGGUCGCGGUCGCUUUCUCCUGGUCGGCACAUACGCCGCUUCUGAUGGUAGCGCAGGACAGGAUGUUGGUAGUCCCGAGAGCAUGGCAAAUUCAGGAUCUGCAUAUGUUGGUCUCUUUGUCCGAAUGCUUGGCUUGGAUAAUGACGCUCAUGAUAGGGAACAUGCUAUUUGCACACUCUGGCAUUACUCCCUUGGUGGACAGAAGUGCAUCGAUGAGAUAAUGCAGUUCCCAGGUUGCAUCAGCCUCAUCAUCAGCCUCCUAAAGUCAGAGUCUGCUUGUGCUUGUGAAGCAGCGGCAGGCCUUGUGCAUAAUAUAACUUCAGUGAAGUUAUACAGGGAUGUGGCAAUUGAGAGUGGAGCAAUGGAAGAAAUCUUUAGCUGUAUCCGUAAAUCCACGAUAACCCCAGAGAUAAAGGAGCAGUGUUUGUGUACCAUUUGGAACUUCUCUGUUGACGAAAAUUUGAGAUACAAGCUUUUGGGGAGUGAUAUGCUAAUACCAAUAGUUAGGUUCCUAGAUGAUGAAGACAUAAAAGUGAAAGAAGUUGCUGCUAGUAUCACAUCAUAUUUAACUUUAAGUCAUUCUUAUCAUGGAGCUCUGGUCGAAGCUGGUGUAAUUCCAAAACUGGUUCAUCUUCUGCAAACCAAAGACGAUGAUUAUAAAAGUAUCAGAAAGGAAGCUAGAAGGUCGCUCGUGGAACUAUCCACGGAUGAUAGUUACCAUGCCCUUAUAGUGGGUCAGGGUCUAGUCCGGAUUCCUCUGGUUGGCUCAUCCGCUUAUAAAGCCUUCAGACCUCAACCUCAUUCAUGGCCCUCUUUUCCUGAUGGCUCGGAAAUUCAACGGAGUUCUCGGCCUUCAAAAUAUGGUGCAACUGAAUUGCUUCUUGGCCUGAUUCUAAAUGAGAAGAAAGCAGAGCCAGAUGAAGCUAAAAUUAAUGCUAUGAUAGGGCGUUCUAAUCAGCAAUUUCUUGCACGCGUUGGAGCUAUUGAGUUUGAUUAUGAAGGGAAAGAACAAUCUGGAUCUCAAAGGAAUGAUCACCACACCAUCUUACCUUGGAUAGAUGGUGUUGCACGGCUAGUUUUAAUAAUUGGUCUCCAAGAUGUCUCUGCAAUUGCAAAGGCUGCUCAUGCAAUCGGUGAUGCAUCAGUAAAUGAACACAUGCGCACUUCAUUCAUGGAAGCUGGGGCUGUGAAAUCUUUACUUCAGUUGCUGAUGCAUAAUGAUGUACCUGUCAGAGAAGCGAGUGCUUAUGCAUUGGAAAAACUAAGUGUCAGUUCCGAAGUUUGUGAGAAGAUCAGAGUAGAAGAUGGCCGAGAGCUGCUUGUAAAUGUACUGAAGGAUUCAGAUACCCCAGUAGAACAAUUGGAGAAGAUAAUCCAUAUACUUUCUCGAAUACUUGAUAUGGAGGUCAGCAUGAUUACUGCGCCUGAUUACUAUGCUAGUACUGGGUCUGAGGAUAUAGCGGACGAUGAGAAGUGCAGUCAAGGUAAUGUAGAUGGUGAGCUCAAUGGAACGUCCCAAAAUUUAUUGAAACAAGACGAGUUGGAUAGUUGUAGCGAUUCAAUCUUUGACCUUGAUGUCAUCUCACGCUUAAUCAAAGUUCUUAAGAAUCAUCUCCAAGCCUGCAAGAAAAAUGUGCUACUCUCCUGGAGCAUUUAG